GGGGAAGGGCGGCGUGCUACACAUGCAAGUCGAGCGGUAAGGCCCUUCGGGGUACACGAGCGGCGAACGGGUGAGUAACACGUGAGCAACCUGCCCCUGACUCUGGGAUAAGCGGUGGAAACGCCGUCUAAUACCGGAUACGACCUUCCGCCUCAUGGUGGAGGGUGGAAAGUUUUUUCGGUCAGGGAUGGGCUCGCGGCCUAUCAGCUUGUUGGUGGGGUAACGGCCUACCAAGGCGAUUACGGGUAGCCGGCCUGAGAGGGCGACCGGCCACACUGGGACUGAGACACGGCCCAGACUCCUGCGGGAGGCAGCAGUGGGGAAUAUUGCGCAAUGGGCGAAAGCCUGACGCAGCGACGCCGCGUGGGGGAUGACGGCCUUCGGGUUGUAAACCUCUUUUACCACCAACGCAGGCUCCGGGUUCUCUCGGGGUUGACGGUAGGUGGGGAAUAAGGACCGGCUAACUACGUGCCAGCAGCCGCGGUAAUACGUAGGGUCCGAGCGUUGUCCGGAAUUAUUGGGCGUAAAGAGCUCGUAGGCGGCGUGUCGCGUCUGCUGUGAAAGACCGGGGCUUAACUCCGGUUCUGCAGUGGAUACGGGCAUGCUAGAGGUAGGUAGGGGAGACUGGAAUUCCUGGUGUAGCGGUGAAAUGCGCAGAUAUCAGGAGGAACACCGGUGGCGAAGGCGGGUCUCUGGGCCUUACCUGACGCUGAGGAGCGAAAGCAUGGGGAGCGAACAGGAUUAGAUACCCUGGUAGUCCAUGCCGUAAACGUUGGGCGCUAGGUGUGGGGACUUUCCACGGUUUCCGCGCCGUAGCUAACGCAUUAAGCGCCCCGCCUGGGGAGUACGGCCGCAAGGCUAAAACUCAAAGGAAUUGACGGGGGGCCG
rnacentral:rRNA from 2 species